UACGUAGGGACCAAGCGUUGUUCGGAUUUACUGGGCGUAAAGGGCGCGUAGGCGGCGUGACAAGUCACUUGUGAAAUCUCUGGGCUUAACCCAGAACGGCCAAGUGAAACUGUUGUGCUAGAGUGCAGAAGGGGCAAUCGGAAUUCUCGGUGUAGCGGUGAAAUGCGUAGAUAUCGAGAGGAACACCAGAGGUGAAGACGGGUUGCUGGGCUGACACUGACGCUGAGGCGCGAAAGCCAGGGGAGCGAACAGG
rnacentral:rRNA from 1 species